UACGUAGGGUGCGAGCGUUGUUCGGAAUUACUGGGCGUAAAGGGCUCGUAGGCGGCCAACUAAGUCAGACGUGAAAUCCCUCGGCUUAACCGGGGAACUGCAUCUGAUACUGGAUGGCUUGAGUUCGGGAGAGGGAUGUGGAAUUCCAGGUGUAGCGGUGAAAUGCGUAGAUAUCAGGAAGAACACCCGUGGCGAAGGCGGCUCUCUGGGACGGUACUGACGCUGAGACGCGAAAGCGUGGGGAGCAAACAGG
rnacentral:rRNA from 1 species